GACUGCGUGGGGCAGGUUCUGGUGGCCAGCAACAAACGCUUCAUCAAAAUUGUGCAUUGCUCCCUUGUCCAAGCUGGCAAGGAGAAAGAAGCUCAAGAGUACCUCGAAAAGGUGAGCCCUGCAUCCCGGGUCAAGCACUUUGAGUCCAUCAAGAUGUGGAAUUACCUUAGUCUGCCAUUCCAGGUGCUCAAGGUAAUGGAGGAUAUGGGAUUAGGCACAAAUCCGUCCAGUUUCUUCAUGCCUCCAGCACCACUUGAGGUUUUUCCCACUCCGGCACCGGGCUGGAGGCCCGGCCAAGCUAUGGCCGACGGUAACGUUCCGUCACCUUGCUUUAGAGGCUUAAUUGACAGCUUGGUAAAUAAAUUUGGAGUUUAACUUUUACAGCAAGCCUUUUUAUUUUAUUUUAUUUUAUUUGUAAAUACUUUUGCUGUAAGAAAUUUGUUGACUUGGGUUACUUGGGUAAUGAUAAGAAUGUUGUAUGUGUACAUAAACAUGCUUAGUCAAUAAUUACGUUUAUGUAUAUGUUUUAGUAUCGAGUAACAGAGCAUGACAGAGAUAACAGAGCACUGAGUAACUGGGGCCAAAAGCAUGAUUUCUAUCUUUGGAGUACUAGUUGGUGUUCAGUACCUGGUCUUUGUAAUUCUCUAUGUAAAGAGACUAAACGUAGUUAAGAUUAAUUGUAUGAAAUUCUUCUGUUGUGAUCUGUUUUAUUGUUGAAAGAUGAAUACCUAUGUUCCAAUCUUGUUUCAGGAUGAGGCUGGCAUUGUGCCUGAGACCGAGGACAGCCCUCCAACAGCCGUGGAGAGCAUAACCCUGUUGGAUUAGUUCUUCACGUUGGUGAGGUUACAGACCGGUCUAUGAUGGAUGCUGCAGCUGAACACAAGCAGAAGAAGGGGGUGAUGGAAGUGGAGGUCUCUGACACGGACCAAGCAUCACCCAGUUAUCCUGUUUUCUUUCUUUUUACUUUGAAGACUAAAAUCAUCCUGGUUUUGCUCUUGCGGUAUUAGAAUGAUUCGAUAUAUACUUGCAGUAUGUAUUAGGAGCCAUGACUUUAUGCAAUCCUUUUGCAUAUGUAGUUGCUGCACGGGAUAUGCAUCCUUGUUUAUGUUUGGACAUCUUUUUAACAUUGGUUGAUCCUGUUAUGAUAUAAACUGACGACCCGCCACUUCCACAAUUGCAAUCUGUUUGAUACUUGAGAAUGUAUUAUAAAUUUCAGAAGACCAAGAUUCACUAUAAAUUCUAGGAAGCAUGAUAAGUCCAAACUACAGCAUGCACCUUAUGUCUAGUCAUCGGCUGUUUUCUGUUGAUGCAUGAAGUCCUUGGGUCUGCAUUUGAACAUGAAUGUAUAAUUCACACACCUGUAUUACAAUGAUAACAUGAUACAUGUUUAGUUCUGUUUUCUCAGCACGAUAAUCAAUCUUCUAUAUACUGCCCUGUAACAUUUGUGACCGUCACGUGUUACUAUGAUACAUCCAAUUCUUUAGGAAUCUAGUGCUGAUAAUCUUUCCAUGCUAUAGUUGCAUGUAUGUAUGGCAUGCAAAUCACUAAUAUGUAUCUAUAUGUGAAAACAGAUUAAGCUACAAGGUAACAAUUUCCUUCCCUGAUGGAAUUUCUUACAACACCAAGCAUAUUUCCUUGGUUAGAAAGGUAGCAACCAGAUUCAUCCUCUUAGAACAACUUGCAAGAUUCCCUAUAUUUGACUGCGCAUAUCUCAACCAUGCAUUGUUAUUAACAGAAACGUUCCUUCAGCAUAUUCCCCUGCUCGUUUUUAAAACCCAAAAAACCCCCUUCUAUAGCAUAUUGAGUCCAUUUCAGAGAAGGGAUGAAGUUGAAAGGUGCAAAAAGGCCAUGGUAUUGGUUUAUCAGGUAUAAAACCAGAUUAAAGAUACUGAUUGGUAUGAAUCUUGCAGCUUAAUCUGUACAUACUAAAUAUAAAAAAUGUUCUAUCAGUUGCCUCGUUACUUUUGGAAAGUAGAAUAUCUACCAUUCCAAAAGACGAAUGCAUGCCCCACCCACACCCAAAUCCUCCUUAGUUUAGUUUAGUACAGACACUUUCGUUUACGUCUCAAACCCAAACACCCACGAACACAAGUACUUGCUUGUGGCCCCAUAUUUUAUUACCCAUAAAAGAUAGAAAAGCUCUCAAGACAAUUUGGGAAAACCCUUUUCCUGUCAGCUCACAAGGCAGUGACAGAAGCCAAUGUUUGCAAAUACUAAGGCAUAUAUAGCCUAUUUGGAAAGGGGGACAAAGCACAUAUUCUGUAAUGAAAAAAAAGGUUCUUUGCCUCUCUGAUAUCAUAUAGCUUUUCAUUGAAUAAAGCAAAAUUCAUGCCCAAAAAUAAGAAAUCCAGACCCUACAUCCAUAAUCUCAUUGCGUACUAAUUCAUAAAUGUAAGAAUAUCCAUCAUAAGAUUAAUCUUUUGAAAACAAUACAACUUGUUCCAUCUAGAUUGAGUGAUUGCAGAACUUACACUUUAAUUGAAUCUGCAUUACUGUGAACUGUUAUGAAGAACCCCUGAGCCUCUCAGAAGAUAUCUGCAAAACAAAAAGUUCGAGCUACAUACAGAAGCAAGAGGGUUACGGCAAGUAAAAUUCAACAGAAUUGUCAGAUUCAAAACUCCCAUGUCAAAAUUUUCACCUCAUUGUCAUCAGCCAUAGGAGCACUAAGAUCUUGCUUUGGGCUGGCUGCCUACAACUCCCAGAACGUGAAGCUGGUGUCGAAAACUAACAGCAAGCCAACCACAUCCAUAAUUCCAUAUGGAGCAACAUUUGUGUACGGUGCCGCGUUUGAAUGAUUUUUAAGAUUUCUUACCGCAGUUUGAGGUAAGGUAAGUGUCUGUAUUUUAAUAAAAGAAUUUAAAGCAACAAAAGUCUUAGAUGAGUCUUCUUCCUCUCUUUUUACUUAUUCGACAAAUAAGGAGGUCUCAUAAUGUGUCUCUCACCCAAGUGGCCCAACCACAAAGCCUUCUCUAAAGGCCUCAUGGUAGAAUUGAAUAUGGUAUGCUUGCUUUGUUAAUGUUUUAAGAAAUAUUAAUAUUAGUUUCAGGAGCUUAAUAUUAAUACACUCGUAUUCCCAAAAAAAAAAAAAAAAAAACUCAAGCACUCCCUCUCAAAAAACACUCUAGAGUUGUUUUUACUUUGAAGGGAGAGGAAGCCACUAUUCUUCCUCACAUCUCCCCUCCUCUCUUCCUCCCCUCUCCCUUCGUUCGCUCUUCCCCCAUUUUCAAAGACAUAAGGUUUCCUCUAUUUUUCUUCAUUUUCUUAUGAUUUUCCUUCACUCAUCACAAGCGGAUGUGUUUUGGCGUCAGAUAUCCAUAUGCGUUUUUGUGUUGGAUCUCUAUCACCAUCAUUUUUGUGAUUUCUUCAUAUUUAGAAUAAGUCGCAGAGACUCUUUGAGUUUUCUAUGUUGUUUUCACAUCUCCUUUUGUGAGAGUUUUUUACCUCUCCUUUGUGAGAGUUUUUUACCUCUUUUUUGUGAGAGCUUUCUACCUCUCAUUUGUCACAAAGACUCUUUGGCUUUUUUGGCUUAUUUAUAAUUGCAAUUCCAUAAUUUCUCAACAACAACAAAAAUUAAUAUUUAUGUUACUUCUAAUUAGGGAUGGGCACAAUUUUUGGUCAACUCGAGCGAACUAUUCAAUCCGAUUAUAGUGGGUCGAGUUAGCUUAAAAAUGAGCGGGUUUUGAGUUUAAAAAAUCAUAAAUCGAUAUGUACAGGUUGGAACCAAAACUUAAAAAUAUGCUUAAUUUUGAAUUAACCUGACCAAACCGUUCAACUCGAUCACAAAAAGUUAACUCAACUAAAACUACGCAACCCAAUCCAUAUCCCCCCUACUUUUAAUGACAUUCCACUGUUUCUUUUUAAAUAGGAACAGAUGUUUUAUUGUUCAGUUAGCCUCAAAAUGUCUUUAUCAGCAGCACAAUAUAACCCAUCACUGGGUACACAACGAUUUAUGAAAUUAUAGCGAAUAGAUUAAUGAAUUAAACUUCUAUUUAUUGGUUGUACGUAGUUUAUCUAUGUAAAUCUUGUCUCUGGAGAGUAUAUAAAUGUAAAUGAUUUUUGGUGACUAAAUUAAUUUAAUGAUCUUACAAAUAGUAUCAACUAAAUUCUUGUUAUUUGAUUAUAUAUUGAAUUUCAUUUGAGCUACAUAAAACAAUUCUUGUUAUUUGACUAAACUUUAGACCCAAUUGCUGACGAGGUUCUAGUUAAAUUAAGUUUGGUCAGCGGUGGGUCUUGGAUUUGAUGAGCCAUUUUAGCACUUGGUCAGCCAUGGGUCAGCCGACAUAUAUACAACAUUAUUUUUAUUUUUAUGAUUUAAUUUAUUGUUUGAAUAUGUAACUCUCUUUUUUUUUUUUUUUAAGUCAACAGCAAUAGCGUUUUAUUGAUAUAUAGGUUGAAACAAGUAUAAAAAUCGGGCUCUAAUUUAGGAAAUUAGGCGAGUUACUUUAUAUUUAAUGGGCAUUUAAUUGUCGGUCUAUCUAAACAACCUUACCUUCUCAAUCACAAAUAAAAGGAAGAACCUUGCCUCCGUUAAAGCGCUCACCAUCUCCCUAAGAUUAUGCCCAUAAAAACCAUAUGUCCCAACCCUAAAAUAAUACUAAAUAUUGUUUAGAGAACGAGUAAUAAUGGAAAGUGGGGAUCUUCCCAAACUAGGGAAAAAGAAGGAAAAAAAAAAAGAAGGGCAUGUGCUAUACACGUGGACGGCAGUGAUGGAGACGGGAUGAUGAUGCAAUCAUGCAGUCGGGAAUGAUGAUGCAAUCAUGCAGUCGGUCAAGCAAUUGGUGGAACUUCUAGAUGUAAUUUGACUUGACAGUUGUAACAAUACUUUUUCUCCUUUUCUAGUUUUUUCUCUCUCUCCUCUUUUCUCCCCAGAUUUGUUUGAAUUUUGAGUCCUUUUGCUCAGAUCUAUAUAGAUCUUAUCUUUUUUUUUUUUUUUUUGUUUGUGUGUUUUCUAUUGUAGGUCCUUGGUAACUUUUAUUGUUCUUGGAUAUGUCUUGCUAUCAUCAGGGACAGACCCAAGAAUAUUAUCUCAUAGGGUCGUAGUAUAAAAGUUCAAAUUUUUUUAAAAGAUUAAAAUAACAUUGGAGUUCUGAAGUCGGGUUUUGGAAUGGGGGUUUUGGAGUUCUAAAGUCGGAAGGGAUGUGAUAAAUCUUUUUUUUUAAUUUAUAAUUUUAAUAAGACCUGGACCAAAACAGCCUCGUUUUGGCCAGCGUGUUUAUAAAAAUAAAACAAUUUAAACGCUGGGCCGUUUUGGCCAGCAUGUUUUUAAAUAAAUAAAAACAGAAGCGUUGUGCAGUUUCUUCUUCCUUAGAUUUGCAACAUUCUCCUUCGGCCAUUCAUGAGGUCACAUAGCCAUUAAAGGGGACCUUUUAGCUUGCUUUCAUGGAGUCCAUAGGGUCGUUUGAUCCUGGCUAUUACUGGAAUGGCUGCAGUGUUGUGUUGUUGACCCAACUUUUUUCUUUGAUUUUCUUUGUGUUUUUGAAGCAAGUACUGCAAUCCACCAUAGACGCCAUGAUUUUGUUGUAGCUUUUGGUCCACUCACUUGGAUUUUGCUGGAAAGGAUGUGGUGCAGUGUCCUUGUUUCUGUGUUUAUUUUAGUCUAAUAAUUCUCAAAGGAGUUUGCUGAUAUUUGUAUUUUGUGUUUGACUUUUCGAUGCAGAUUUAUCGUUACUGCAGUUGCGCGACGAAUCUAUAUUGUAAGUCUGAGUACAGAUGCUUUUGUCUGUCGAAUUGGAAGUUUUAAAUUUUUCUAACAUGCGAAUCUAUAUAGUGGAAUAUGAGGUAAAUAUCUUUUAUUUUUCUUUUACUUUGAGUUUGAGUGUAUCUUCUUCUUUCCAUUUGGUAAGUAUCAUUAGUUACCAAAAAACGAAACUAAAUUUGUAAAAGAAAAAACGAAAGAAAAGGAGCCCUAAUUUGAACACAACAUACAUACAAUGGACUUGUUUUUUUAUUUAGACAAUCUGUUUUUCCGCAUUUGGAACAAGUGAAAAUAAUUGUGUCCAAAUUUCAGACAGAAAAUGAACUUGAGGUUGGAAUUUAAUGAUUUGAAAGUGGUUGAGCAAAAUCAGUAAUAAAGUAAACAAAGUAAAAAGUGCAAAAAUGCAAUACUGCAACUUUGAAGACAUAAAUGAAGGCCUCUACUCUACCCCAAAAACAGAGGCCUUAUAUUAUGUUCUGGAAUGUCAAAAUUUUAAUCAGUGUCGCUGUCGACGCCUUAUAUCAUAAAAUUAUAAAAGAAAAAGAGAAAAAGGGCAAAAAAUGAAGUAAACAAGCCGAAGAAAAGACAAUCGUAACUAUUGACUUUUCCGACCACCGUUGCUUAAGCCCAGCUAGGCAUGGAGGAGGCUUGGAGCCGUAGCUAGGCUAUGGAGCCAGGUACCACACCCCAACUGCAGUGUUGCCUAUAAAAGAAGAGCAACUGAAAAAUCAACUUCAAUUUCAACUCCAAUUCUCUCUCUCACUUCACCAUCUUAAGCUUUACUCUCCACUUUUCUCAACCCAAAAAAAAAACCCUUAAAAAUGAGCCCCAACUCUCGUGCCAAUUUUGUCCAUUUCCAUCUUGAAGAAAUCCGUUUGUUUGCGAUCCAAGCCGUACAGAACAUAGGCGGUCUCAGGCCACCGAGACUCUACUCGGCAACUGUCAACGGAACCUGGACAAGUAGUAAUUUGUGCCCAGAAAGAGUCUUCCUGACUCGCAUCCCUCUCCUCACUGGGCGCACUCCUGAAGACGCCGCCGCUGCAAUUAUCCAAUUCCGCCUGAAUUUGGCCUUAAACAGCAGCACCAGCCACCACCAAUUCUGUUUUCUCGAAAACGGAGCCGCUGCCGGCGACGGUGGAGCACCCAAUUACAUCCCGGAUCUCAAUGUCUCGCCUCCUGAUGAGACGGCGCCUGCGAAGGAGUUCGUCGGAGUAAUCAAGAGCCAGAACAUCUCCCGGCUGACUGAUUAUGUGGUUCGGUACCUGCGCGAGUACGGGAGUGAGGAGGAGGUGGAGGAGUACCGGAAGAUUCUGAGUACCAAAAGUGAAGCCGAAAUCGGAAACCUGGAUUCGAUUCGGAUCUGGAAUAUUCUCACCCUGGAAGCCGAAAUUCAGAACGCGCUCAUAGCGAAAGGCCUCGUGGAGACCCCAAUGCGCUUCGACGACCUUGAGUUCCCGCCGCCGCAGGAGCUGUUUCCAAUUCCUGAAAAAGGCAGGAAGGGCGCCAAGAAGGCCCGGUACUGUGGAGUUUUUGGUAUGGAUGAGGCCAAAUCACCAAAUUCCUGAAGCAGGGGACUCUGUUCGCCAAUACCGAGAUCGCCCUUUUUGUACUUUUAUGUUUUAUUUAUUUUAAACUAGAAUGUUUUUGUGUGAAUAACUUGCUCUGCUUUUGCUGCCAGUUUGGAAUUCCAUGUGGAAUUUCUGUAUUUAUGAUUUUAGGAAUUUCAUAAAUUUGUUGCUGGCCUGAAUCUGAAUGGAUGCAGGAGAAAAUCUUAGGUGAGAUGGAUGAUUAUGUAUACAAUCGUUCUCCUGAUUAUAACUUGUUUGGUUGUUAGAGUUGCUUUGGGUUGAUUUGGAUGAAGUUUUAACCCAAUCCCUUGCUUGGCUGGCAGUUACCAUCACUGUUAGAUUAGAGCUGGUGGUAGUAAAAAGAGUGAGAAACGGUUGCGUCCAAUAUGAAUGGGAAACUUUCCUAUUAUUAUUUUUAUUGGUGCAAACAAACUUUAAGCCUCCUUAAUUAUAAAUUUAUAAUAUAAUAGUAAAACACGGAUAGAACGCGUUCAACCUUAACUCAAACGUACACAAAUAGAACUAUUUUGAUUACUCAACAAAAACAAUACAAUUCAACGUUUGACUAAUACCGACUAACCUCUUAAAAUUGGUUAAAUUACAAAAAAGACUAAAAUACCCUUGGAAUCCUAUCAAACACAUGUCCAAAAAUAUCUAUCAAUGUCGUCUUAUACGCAAUCUGCAUUGAGUUAUGCUUAGUCUCUCUCCUCAUCUCAAUAUCUCCUAAAUUAACCAACCAUGGGGCUUAAUUCUUUAAGAUUCAAGCCCCAACAAAUUAAUUUCUUCAGCAGACAAUUUUAGGUAUAUAUUCGGUACAAGGUAAUAAGACUAAAAAAAAUCACACCUAAAAUUGGGUCACGUUAUAAUUAUUCAAAUUGAAUAUAUGUAGUAAUAAGAUUAGGGAAGUCCUAUUCAGCCACUUCAUAAGCACUGUUCAUGAAUAUUAUGGAGAAAUCCUUUCCGAACGAGAAACUAAAGUCAAAUCCGCCUUGUGAUUUUCUAUUUAUAAAUGCAAUCCAGCUUGUGAAUUAGGGAUAUGAUCAUCUAUGAUAAUUUUAUAUAAUAUAGUUUAAUUAGUAAUACUAAUUCUGGUAUUUCAAAACGAUGUAAACAACAAAAUGGACUAAGGAAAUCUGUAGUUGGAUUGGAUUGCAGAAAUCCAUUCCGAGUGCGAACUAAUUAUCAGCAGUGGUCGCCUGCGUUUGACAAAUGGCCAAAAAGGGAUUUGGGGACGACACGUGUAGAGAUUUGAUGCAAAGAAGACCCUCCCUCGCACAUGCCAACAAAUCCAACCCUUUACCAGUUGUCGAAGACUUUUCGGUAGCUUUUUCUUCCUUUUCUUUUGAAGGGGUUUCAACACUCACAAAUUACAGUGGCAGUGAUAACUGAAGUACUAGAAGAAGAUUCUUUGCCUUUAUCAACACCGCCAUGCAUUUUUGGUUGCUAUAGUUUAUUGACAACUAAUCAAUCGGCAUUAUAUUGCUUAUAAAAUGAAAUGAAAACUUUCCUUCGUGAAGAAAAGGACACUCAUCACAUCAUUAAAUUUUAGCAAAACUAACCUUAGCUUUCUUUAUGCAUUCAUAUCAUACAUGAAAAAUUAUUUUAUAUAAAAAUAUUGACUAAGUAUGAAAUUCAUAUCAUACACGAAAGCUUAAAGAAGACGACAACAUUUGUAGAGAAUCUAGAGAUUGCAUAUGGUGGUUGGUAGUAUGCUUGCUUGCUUUGCUUGUUUGUUUGUUUCUUCAGUUUUUCUUGCCUAGAAUAAUAAUAAUAGCAGAAAUUCUUGUUUAUGAAGAGUACAAAUAUUAACUACUCUCAGCAUAAUUAAUUAUAGAAAUAGAAAGCCCAAUUGUUAAUGGAGGAGGGAGUGGCCGAAGUGGGAAUCAUACGCUUUCUCUACCAUUCAUAUAUCAACUAUUAACUUUUUCUUUUUCUGUUUAUCUUUUUCCUAGUUCGUUGGUUUCAACUUUCAACUUCGUUUUGGUCGUUUUCGUUCGGCUCUCUCUCAGAGUCUCAUCUCAUUGGUUCAGGUACGGAUUCCAUAGGGAUCCAUCCAUGGCCUUAUGCUGAACCAGAUCAACAGCCAACCCGCGACAUAGCACUCUUUGGAUUCGUUGGUUCGCUGACAAUCAUGUCUUAGUCGAUCAUCCUUUUUCAUGUACUUGGAUUUCAUUGGAUAUAUUAUUACAAGUUCCAUCCAUUCUUUUGCCUGUACAGCUCAUACCAUUUAAAUUGUUUUAAAAAAAAUUGUUGAAUUUUAUUAAUCGGUAGGUCCAUGAUGUGAAUUGGGGAUGAUCAUAUCUGUUCAUGUACAAAAAUGAUCAAGUAUUUGUGAAAACGAUUGAUUGCAGGUGGGUGGGUGACUUUCAUGUUUCCGCUUCGGGUUCGGCGUGUUCUAAAACUGAUCGAACAAAAUUGCCACGUCAAAUGCUACUUGAGGUUUUGAGAGAGGGUGGGCGGAACAUAAUUUGUUUGUGCAGGCAACCAAGUUGAGGAAACUUGUACAAGUGCUGCAGUCGUAACACACACUAAUAAAACUUAGGUUUUGGAAUUGUUAUUUAUUUUACAUCAACUAAUUGCUGAUGAUUAGAGGGUUCCAAAACCAAUUUCUCCAGUCCUCACGUGGUUACUUCUCAGGCAGCUAUUUCUUGGUAACUAUCAUUUCAAAGUGUAGGGCAAGUCUAGGGCAAGUCUAAGGCAAAUACUAUUCAUUGUACUUUAUUUCCUAUUUUUUUUAUACUUUAAACCAUUAAUUUUGAUAAUUUUUUGUAAUUAAAUUUUCAGAUAAUAUUUUUGGUUGUCAUGUGUCCAUUCAAAAAAGAUUUUCGGAUGAGAAUCUCGAUUGCCACGUGUCUUAUUCCAGAUAAAAUUUUCGGAUAUUCAUUAAAAAAAAUUAUAAUCUCAUAUUUCAGAUAACAUUUUCACCCUCUAAAAUUGUGUUACGUGUCCCAUGUCAGAUAAGAUUUUCAGAUAUUUAAACAAAAUUAUAAUCUCAUAUUUUCACCCUCUUUUUCUUGUGCAUGCUGCUGUUGAAUUGCAAAUGUUUCCUCUCGUGCCUUGUCCACUUCAUCUCUUUUCAAGUCUCUCUCAAUUCUUAGUGAGGUGUUCUUAGCUAUUUGCUCCAAUAAUUGUACACAUUCAUUGUUCGAAGUGCCCCCUCUCUUGGCCUUUGCCGCCUUUCUCCCAAUCGGUCUCGGCGGACGUGGGAGUGGUGACUCCGUUUCUAUUGGGGAGUCCAAUGGCGAAUCGGUUGAUAGUGAAUCGUGGAGCGGCAUCUCAUUCAACACAACCGGCGGACCGGUGGGAAUAAUUUUGAAUCUCGAACAAUCCUUCACAACUUCCCAAUAUUGGAAAUGCACGAAACUUUUUUUGCCUUGCCUCAUGGCACCGAACCACAUUUGUGCUUGUAUAAUCUAUUAAAAAUAAAUAAUUGGAAGUGCAAGAAAAUAUAAACUAUUUUGAAAUGCAAGAAUAAAAUUGAUUAUGCAAGAAAAUAAAGACAAAUUGGAAAUGCAAAAAGAAAAAAAAAAUUAUGCAAAAAAAAGAAAUAGAAUAUGCCAAAAAAAAAAAGUUACAUUAAAUUGAUGAAAAUGACAAUUAUAAAUAUUAUACCUCAUCGGAUAGAUUUUGACCGCUUCGAAUGUUCUCCCUUGCUUUUGUCAAUGCAUUUCUCCAUUUGCCUAACUCUUUAUUUAGAAGUUUUCAUCUACUAGACAACGCCAUUUCGGUCCGAAUGGAACCCGAUCUUUGACAAAAUUCUCCAUGAAUUUUGCUCCACAUAUGAUGGAACUUCAUCUCAUUGCCCGUGACAGGGUCAUGACUAACGUUUACCCAAGACUGACACAACGCAAUAUCUUCCUGAGUUGACCACAAGCCUCCGGUUUAGACAGAAGAUGCCAUUUGUUUUUUGUUUUUUUUAAUACAAAUGGAAAGUAGUAGAAAAAUGUGAGUGGAGAGUAAAAAAUAUUGGAAUGAGAAGAGUUUGUAUGGAGAAUUGGUGAGGAAAGUGAAAAUGUGAGUGGAGAGUAAAAAAUAUUGGGGAUGGAUAAGAAUUGUAUGAAGAUUUUGUAUGGAAAGUAAAUAAAAUGGUUACGUAUUUAUAGGGAAAAAAUGCAUAAUUUUUUGGUAUUUUUAAAAAAAAAUUUUCAGAAUUUUUUCGAAUUUUUUUACAAUUUUUUAAGCCAAAAACGGAGGACCGUCAGAUUUCUGGAAAAAAACCAUCGGAGCGUCUCUAUCGCGACAUGUGGCACUUGCCCGUUGGAUACUGUCAGGGCUGACGUCAUCGCUAACAAACAGCUGUCCGAACUGAUUCUCCCGCACUGGAGCGCUCUGGAGCGCAGUUGCGCUCGCCUACGAGGCCUUUCUCCCGGGUUGGGUCUUCCAAUGACGUGGCUCUUAGGUAUUAUGACAGAUGUUCCACUAGAAACAUUUUUAUGGUGGGACUCACCUUCCGGUGCGACCCAUCUUCCUUUAUAUGAAGGAAACAAACAAGUUCCAUCUUCUUUUAUAUAAAGCAAACAAGUUAGUUCCACUAGAAACAUUUCGCCCGAACCACAUCUCUCUCCUUUCUCUCUCUCUCUCUCUCUCUCUCUCUCUCUCUCUCUCUCUCUCAACAUCUGAUUCAGAGCUAGCUAGCUAUAGCAGCAAUGGCCAUGGCUUCUCUUCUCAGCCCUUCUUCUUCCAAUUUACUUCUCCACCACCUAAGAGAAGUCCAUCUGCCAACGAUCCGACCUGCAGAGGUCGAAGAAAGCAGUAACAUUGGAGAGGCUAGACACAGACCAGCCUCAGCUGCUAUCGUGGCGCCAAACGCUGCUUUCAGCUUCAGGGGCCCACAAACGACGGUGUACGCUGCGGCCUACUGCAUCGGCGGAGGUACUAGUUUGUGCCCGGAUGAGGUCCUUCUGACUGCUCUCCCGGUCAAUGGACCCACCCGACAAGACGCUAUGGCUGCAAUCAUGGCGUUCCGGUUGAAGAUGACCUUACGCCAUAGCAGCAGCCGCCGGCAAUUGGUGGAUUUCUGUUUUCUGGUGCCGGCUGAGGGUGGUGACCAGAAUUUUGUGGACCCUGCACCAAACAGGGGACCCAAUUAUAUCCCGGAUCUCAAUGUCUCGCCGCCGGAUGCGACGGCGCCGGCGAUGGAGUUCGUCGGAGAAAUAAAGAGCCAGAACAUCUCCCGGUUCAUUGAUUACGUGGUGGGGUACCUGGGCGAGUACGGGAGUGAUGAUUCGGUGGCGGAGUACAGGAAGAUUCUGAGCAGCAAAAGUGAAGACGAAAUCGGAAACCUUGAUUCGAUUCGUGUCUGGAAUAUUCUCACCCUGAGAACCGAAAUUCAGAAGGCGCUCGUUGCGAAAGGCCUUGUUGAAGCCCCAAUCGGCUCCGAUGAUGUUCAAUUCCCGGCGCAGCAGCAGCUGCUUCCCAUUCCACAACAAGGCUGGACGGCCGCCCUUAACCAUGCUCAUAUUCAUUGUCAUGUCACUGCUGCUGCCGCCGGCACCGGUGCCAAUUUUAACGGCAACGACAAAACUAUGGUACUAUUCAGUAAUUAGUAUAUGGGUAGCUUCAACUUGAUUGCAUUGAAUAUCUGUUUUCUUUGUUUUCAGUCGGAUGGUCGCAAUUAUGGUGUUGGUUAUGAGAAGCAGAGCAACGUGGCAAAGCGGAAGGCGGUGGCUGUUGGUGGUGUGGACGAGGACGACCCAUGUUGUCCCUAUGAUCAGCCGAUGAAGAAGCCCAGCCACGGCGUCGGCGGGGUUCUUUGGAUCGAUGAGGCUAAAGCCCUGGCUCGGGACAAGGCGCCUAUUGAUGAAGCAGAGGAGGAGGGCGUGUCCACUGACUGAAUCAAUCCUCCGAAAAGUCCCUUUUGAUUGUUUUGUUUAUUUAUUUAUUUGUUUUUUUUUAUACUGGAAGGCUUGUGUGUGAAACUUGUGUGUUGUUUUGUUCCUUUUGCUUUUGCUGGGUUGGUUUGUGUAGAAGAGAGUGAGGGUUUGUUUCCACUUUAUUGAAUAAAGUAAUUUGUAAUUGCGCUUAGAUAUUGCGUGUGGCCACUUAAUUGCGCUUUAGAUACAUUAAAGCUGUCGUGUGUUGGGAAGAAUAAGACGGUUGUGUCCAUUUUGGCGGGCAUUUUGGCUGUUGCGCGCGUUUGAUAAAUCAUCCAUCGAAGUUGGAUGUUUGGAUGCAGACAAGGCUUGGCGGUCGCAAGCUCGAGUGACCAAUUGCAAUUUCCAAUUAAAUAUUUAACAUUAAAGAAUUGAAUAUUAAUAAAUUUAGGCACACGUUCAAUAAAAAAUAUUUAUUCUUCUUGUGAAAUUCUAUUUAUACUUGGGAAGUGUCCCCUUUUCCAUUUUGAAAGCACUCGCAUAAAACUGCCACAGAAGAGUACAAAUGUAUAAUCAUUCUUCCUUUUUCUUUCUCUCUCUUUACAAUAAAAAAUUCUGUUUGAUAUUUUCCUAAUUUGUUUGGGGCAGUUUCUGACCAUUCAAAUUGUAGAAUUUUUGAUCCGAUGCCCAACAUCUAUGUCUCUGUGUAUUGGUUGUACCGGAUAAAAGGACAUGAUUUUCUAAAAGUUAUGACAUGAAAGUGCUUCAACUAAAAUCCUGACCUGGAAUUCCUUUUUUGUUUUCUUUCUAUAUCAUGCCGUUUUACUUAAAUAUAUAUAUAUAUAUAUAUAUAUAUAUAAAAUGGAGGGAGGGAGAGCAGAGGUGGGCCCAGAUUUCUUUUCUCUUUGAUCAGGACAGAGACCAAGGUUGAACCUUCAAAAGCUCUAAAUUUUUUAGAAAAUAUUAUAAUAAUAUGACGCUUUCUACAAAUACAUCUCCUCCAAUCCCACCACCACCGCCUUCCUUCUCCAAAAUCCCAAACUCCAAACCCAACAAAAAUUCAACAAUGAUGUCGACCUCUCCGAAUCCAGACGCCUCUGUUUUUGCAAGCAUAAUGGAACUUCACUUCAAAGAACUCGAUCUGAUCCUGGAACAGCUUCUCCUCAACAAAGAACAAAUGCUUCCCAUACUUCAAAAGUGCUUCUCACUCACUUUCCUGAAAGAGGGUCUUGCAGAACAAAUUGCUGUCCAUAAACGCGAUUCAGCCGAUCGGAUUAACCCCGGUCCGCUGGACUCUGCUCUUCUCAAGGACUGCGUGGCGCAGGUUCUGGUGCCCAGCAACAAACGCUUCAUCAAAUUUGUGCAUUGCUACCUGCUUGAAGCUGGCAAGGAGAAACAAGCUGAAGAGUACCUGCAAAAGGUGAGCCCUGCAUCUCGGGUCCAACACUUGGACUCCAUCAAUAUUUGGAAUUACCUUACUCUGCCAUGCCAGGUGUUCAAUAAGGUAAUGGAAGAUAUGGGG
rnacentral:lncRNA from 1 species